rnacentral:rRNA from 1 species
UGCCAAUUAAUUUAACUUGGGAGUCAGAACAUGGGUGAUAAGGUCCGUGUUCGAAAGGGAAACAGCCCAGACCACCAGCUAAGGUCCCAAAAUAUAUGUUAAGUGGAAAAGGAUGUGGCGUUGCCCAGACAACUAGGAUGUUGGCUUAGAAGCAGCCAUCAUUUAAAGAGUGCGUAAUAGCUCACUAGUCGAGUGACACUGCGCCGAAAAUGUACCGGGGCUAAACAUAUUACCGAAGCUGUGGAUUGUCCUUUGGACAAUGGUAGGAGAGCGUUCUAAGGGCGUUGAAGCAUGAUCGUAAGGACAUGUGGAGCGCUUAGAAGUGAGAAUGCCGGUGUGAGUAGCGAAAGACGGGUGAGAAUCCCGUCCACCGAUUGACUAAGGUUUCCAGAGGAAGGCUCGUCCGCUCUGGGUUAGUCGGGUCCUAAGCUGAGGCCGACAGGCGUAGGCGAUGGAUAACAGGUUGAUAUUCCUGUACCACCUAUAAUCGUUUUAAUCGAUGGGGGGACGCAGUAGGAUAGGCGAAGCGUGCGAUUGGAUUGCACGUCUAAGCAGUAAGGCUGAGUAUUAGGCAAAUCCGGUACUCGUUAAGGCUGAGCUGUGAUGGGGAGAAGACAUUGAGUCUUCGAGUCGUUGAUUUCACACUGCCGAGAAAAGCCUCUAGAUAGAAAAUAGGUGCCCGUACCGCAAACCGACACAGGUAGUCAAGAUGAGAAUUCUAAGGUGAGCGAGCGAACUCUCGUUAAGGAACUCGGCAAAAUGACCCCGUAACUUCGGGAGAAGGGGUGCUCUUUAGGGUUAACGCCCAGAAGAGCCGCAGUGAAUAGGCCCAAGCGACUGUUUAUCAAAAACACAGGUCUCUGCUAAACCGUAAGGUGAUGUAUAGGGGCUGACGCCUGCCCGGUGCUGGAAGGUUAAGAGGAGUGGUUAGCUUCUGCGAAGCUACGAAUCGAAGCCCCAGUAAACGGCGGCCGUAACUAUAACGGUCCUAAGGUAGCGAAAUUCCUUGUCGGGUAAGUUCCGACCCGCACGAAAGGCGUAACGAUUUGGGCACUGUCUCAACGAGAGACUCGGUGAAAUCAUAGUACCUGUGAAGAUGCAGGUUACCCGCGACAGGACGGAAAGACCCCGUGGAGCUUUACUGUAGCCUGAUAUUGAAAUUCGGCACAGCUUGUACAGGAUAGGUAGGAGCCUUUGAAACGUGAGCGCUAGCUUACGUGGAGGCGCUGGUGGGAUACUACCCUAGCUGUGUUGGCUUUCUAACCCGCACCACUUAUCGUGGUGGGAGACAGUGUCAGGCGGGCAGUUUGACUGGGGCGGUCGCCUCCUAAAAGGUAACGGAGGCGCUCAAAGGUUCCCUCAGAAUGGUUGGAAAUCAUUCAUAGAGUGUAAAGGCAUAAGGGAGCUUGACUGCGAGACCUACAAGUCGAGCAGGGUCGAAAGACGGACUUAGUGAUCCGGUGGUUCCGCAUGGAAGGGCCAUCGCUCAACGGAUAAAAGCUACCCCGGGGAUAACAGGCUUAUCUCCCCCAAGAGUUCACAUCGACGGGGAGGUUUGGCACCUCGAUGUCGGCUCAUCGCAUCCUGGGGCUGUAGUCGGUCCCAAGGGUUGGGCUGUUCGCCCAUUAAAGCGGUACGCGAGCUGGGUUCAGAACGUCGUGAGACAGUUCGGUCCCUAUCCGUCGUGGGCGUAGGAAAUUUGAGAGGAGCUGUCCUUAGUACGAGAGGACCGGGAUGGACAUACCUCUGGUGUACCAGUUGUCGUGCCAACGGCAUAGCUGGGUAGCUAUGUGUGGACGGGAUAAGUGCUGAAAGCAUCUAAGCAUGAAGCCCCCCUCAAGAUGAGAUUUCCCAACUUCGGUUAUAAGAUCCCUCAAAGAUGAUGAGGUUAAUAGGUUCGAGGUGGAAGCAUGGUGACAUGUGGAGCUGACGAAUACUAAUCGAUCGAAGACUUAAUCAA